rnacentral:rRNA from 1 species
UUUUUUUUGUUUUUAUAAAAAAUAUAACCUGCCCUAUGAUUAAUAAGUUAAAUGGCCGCGAUUUUAUCGUGCAAAGGUAGCAUAAUAAUUUGUCCUUUAAAUGAGGUCUAGAAUGAAAGGUUGAACGAGAGAGUAACUUUCUUAUUUUAAUUUUAUUGAAUUUUAUUUUUUGGUUAAAAAGCCAAAAUAGAUUUAUGGGACGAUAAGACCCUAUAGAAUUUAAUUAAUCUUAUAAGAUAUAGUUUUUAUUUUUAAUUUUAUAUCUUAUAAGAUUAAUUUAGUUGGGGCGACUAUUAUAUUUAAUAUACUAUAUUUUUAUAUUUUUCAUUGUUUUAUGAAAAUUUGAUCCUAAAUUUUAGAUUACAAGAAUAAAUUACCUUAGGGAUAACAGCGUAAUCUUCUUGGGGAGUUCUCAUUUAUAAGAAGGUUUGCGA